UGCUACGAGUGGUAAUGCAAUUGGACAGAGCCAGAUAUAUGUUGUGUUAGUAAAAUGCCUAACUGGUACAAAUCCCACAGUGCAGAAUAAAAGAGAGCUUGUAUGAAAAAGGACACUGACGAACUGUAGCUUCCGUACGCGGUACGGGAGUCCGCGACACGGACGAAAAGUGAAAUGACCCCACGUGCAGACUGGUUUUAGAAGUGUACAGUGCAAACUGUAAAGUACUGGGUGGAGGUGAAACAAUGAACGCGGGACAAAGAGACGCACAGUGUAUUCGCACAAAGGUAAAAAAUUAAACGUGUAUCUGAGUAGGACUUGAACACGGAGGCGUGACGAAAUACCGGACUGGAACACUGGACCUGGACUGGAGAACACGAGGCAGGAGUAGACAAGACGGGAACUCGGGAGUGGAACAUAAACACCUAUGGAACAAACUGAGAAACCAGGAAACUACUAAUUGCAACAACAGUACUGUAACAACCCACGUUACUGUGUUUAGGCGGGGAGAUGUGUUUGGUGUAAAUAGUUGCAUUAUGGGAAAAAUGUGGAAUAUAGGUGUACAUCCACUGGGGGCACUUCUGGGGGAAAGAUGGGGUGACCGUGUGGCAGUGACCAGUGGCAGUGAGUGGCGUCUUCUCUAAUAAUAGGAGUAUUAUUUCUGGGGGUUGUGACACGAACAUUCCUUGUGCGAAUUUUUCAAGAUCAAAAUAAAUUAAAUGGAAACUACUUAAAUUGCAUUUUUUCAGCCUUUUUCUUUCUAAAAUGUGUCUGUUGUAGAAUGAAAAGACAAUGGGUUUUCCGGGGCCAAAUGGUGUGGCAAACCAGUCAGACAGAAGAGAAACAUGUGGGACCGACUUCCAUCAUUUCGCUUCCACGGUGUUUACGGCUGUGUCUGGUGCUUCUGAUUGCUGUGAUCGCCACCAAAGGCACAGGGCUGGAGGAGGAGGGUAUACACCCAAGAUGGCACACCAGUCCGUUGCAAGGCACCCCAAGCAAGGCUUGAAUCCCAGACCCACCAGCAAACAAGACCCAGCCAAGCCCGUUGCACCACCACACCCCUCAGAACUUAAAUUGUCUGUCUUUAGUGAAGAAGAAGAGGCAGAAUAAAACGGGGUACACCCUGGACAGGACACUAGUCUAUUCUAUGGUAACGACAUUGUUACUCACCCAUUCAAAAGUGCAAUUAGAGAC
rnacentral:lncRNA from 1 species